rnacentral:lncRNA from 1 species
UAGAACAUUGAAAGGCUAGAAUUAGUAAACAACAACUUUGUUUGAGUCCAACAUGUGCACAGGGGCAAGAGGGGUGUGUUGUUUACAAACAUAUUUGCCGAUUCUCUGUUGUCAAGUCGACGCGAAUUUCUAACGGAGGAAAUUUUAUGCUAUAUUUUAACAACCAUUAUAACGUUAAUUUAACUUACUUGUGUUGUAUUUUAUAGGAAAAUUUAAAUUAAAAAAUAUAAAUACUACAAUUAACCUAUUUUAAGAAUAAAUAUAAUAUCCUUAAGCAAAAAAAUAACAAAAUUAUUAACAUUCUUAUCCCUAAAACCGUUUCUAAAAAAUUUGAAGCGACAACACCGGAACUUAAGCGCCUGAGCCAUACGCAUAGUGUCAUCUGUCAAACGGCUUUUUGUUUAUGUUCGAGAUUCGUGUAUUUUCUUUAAUUUUUUGGUUUCAAAAGGAAAAAGGCCACAUUUUAGUGUUUUUUUAAAUUGCUAGGAUGGCAAAAACUUGUGUCGUUUGUGCCGCAUCAUGAUAAAAAGGUGAUUCAAGCCGAUCUUUUCACAAGAUUUCUGAUGCACUGGUUAAAAACACAGCAGCCGAUAAUUCAGUUAAUUUACCAAGUGAUUUACCCUUCAAAGCUGCAAGGGUAGUUUUCCUGAAGAGUGCAAAAACUUCUUUAGCUUCCAAAAUGGUAUAUAGUACAAUCAGUGAAGCUAAUAUAGACAAAUCUGAUCACUCAUCAUCAACAAUAACUGCAUCUGAGAUUAAUAGUUACUGUCUAGGUCAACAAUUACUAUUUCCCAUCCAAUCCGUUUUUGUUUAACUGCUACACAUUCCCUGACUCUGCCAAGGAAAAGGUAAAAAUACACUC